GGCGNCGGCUACACAUGCAAGUCGAGCGGUAACAAUGAAGCAGCUUGCUGCUUCACUGACGAGUGGCGGACGGGUGAGUAAUGUCUGGGAAACUGCCUGAUGAAGGGGGAUAACUACUGAAAACGGUACCUAAUACCGAAUAACGUCUCUCGAUCAAGGAGGGGGACCUUCGGGCCUCUUGCCCUCUGAUGUGCCCAGAUGGCAUUAGCUAGUAAGUGGGGUAACGGCUCACCUAGGCAACAAUCCCUAGCUGGUCUGACAAGAUGACCGGCCACUCUGGAACUGAGACACGGUCCCAACUCCUACGGGAGGCAGCAGUGGGGAAUAUUGCACAAUGGGCGCAAGCCUGAUGCACCCAUGCCGCGUGUAUGAAGAAGGCCUUCGGGUUGUAAAGUACUUUCAGCGGGUAGGAAGGUGAUAAGGUUAAUAACCUUAACUAUUGACGUUACCCGCAUACCAAGCACCGGCUAACUCCGUGCCUACAGCCGCGGUAAUACGGAAGGUGCAAGCGUUAAUCGGAAUUCCUGGGCGUAUGGCGCACGCGCGCGCUCUGUCAAGUCCUAUGUGAAAUCCCCGGGCUCAACCUGGGAACUGCAUUGGAAACUGGCAAGCUUGAGUCUUGAAGAGGGGGGUAGAAUUCCAGGUGUAGCGGUGAAAUGCGUAGAGAUCUGGAGGAAUACCGGUGGCGAAGGCGGCUUCUUGGACUAAAACUGACGCUCAGGUGCGAAAGCGUGGGGAGCAAACAGGAUUAGAUACCCUGGUAGUCCACGCCGUAAACGAUGUCNACUUGGAGGUUGAGGCUUUGCGGCGUGGCUUCCUGAGCUAAACCGUUUAAUCAAUCCCCCGGGGAGUACCGGCCCCAGGAUUGAACUUCAAUGAAAUGACCGGGGCCCCCACCAACCGUGGAGCAUGGGGUUUAAUUUCAUGCCACCCGGAAAAACCUAACUACGCUUGGCA
rnacentral:rRNA from 1 species